CGCAACGCAAAACGUUUCAACUGGAGCCGAUAUUGGAAACACGGAAAAGCAAGAUUACAGUUCAGUUUGAUAUAAGCUUCCAACCGAAGCUCCACUCCCGCAUUAGCGCUUAUCACCAUUUUGCGGGCAAGGCCAAUCACCAUUCGCGUUCUUCACCUUAUUUUAUCCAGUGUCUGAAUAACACUGCAGCCCAAAGCAAAAUAUGACAUAGUUAGGCAGCUACAUCUGCCUCGAAUCGUUCAAGUUCAAGCUCAAUCCCGCCUCUGCAGGGAGAUAGUAGUUUUGUGUAUUAGUGUUCUACUGCUUAUCCUCGAAAAGAUGGCAGUACUGGAAGUAGUUACCCGUCCAGCCAGAUCAAUGAUCGAUCAGCUGACCCUCUUAGUGAAGCUACCGGCGGCCACGAUCUACAUUAUCACCAAAGGUGUUUUCCUAAUAAUGAAUACGCUAACAAAGUUUGGACGAAUGAUAAGCCAGUAAAAUACCAUGACCGCGGUUUCAGCAGGAGCACAGAGUUAAAUGCCGUAAACAAAUUGGAGCCAAUUUAUUUCACGCUAUACACAAGUGUGGAUGUGUACGGAGGAAAUAUAAGUGAUAUGUUUAGUUUGUGUUAAUAGCCUUUUGCUGCCAAAUUGCUUGUGCAAGAGCUUAUAGUAUGUAAAGUUUGGAAUAAUAAUAAUAUUUUGAUAAUGAAAUAACAUAUGUAAUCGACAAAUC